CUCAGGAACACUCCUCUUCAGCCCUUCCCCGACAACACUCCACUUCAGCCCUUAAUUUCCCGCCGACUCCACUCCAGGUAAGUUUAAAGCAAGAGCUAGGCAGUUGACGUGCAGGGGUUCUAGCUCUCAGGUAAAUACAGUGUUCGAUACACAGGUGGGUAUUCACAGGGCUGGGCUGUUAGCGUGCAGGGGUUCUAGCUCUCAAUGUAAGUACAGUGUUCCAUAGACAGGUAAGUAUUCACAGGGCUGAGCUGUUAGCGUGCAGGGGUUCUAGCUCUCAAUGUAAGUACAGUGUUCCAUACACAGG